UUCCUGUUCACUUUGAUACACUUAAAGUGCAGUCAAUCAGCAAUGACAUACUUCAGUGGAGCAGGACUGACAUUAGGGGGAAGCAGGUUCAAAAGUACAUGAACAUUUUGGAGCAGCUUGGCAAAAGCUCCCCCUUGCCACAAGUCAACAAGUCUUCAUUGUUUAACAGAAGCCAUGGCCACAUCCUCAACCAAGGCCAUCUGCUCAACAAUAGCAAAAGAAUUGCCCCAUCUUGGGAUCUUGUUGAACUCAUCUCUGCUCCCAAUGAAGACACAGAUUCUUUUAUCUGCAGCUGGCCAAGAAUCCCUAUUUACAAACUAAUUGAGGAGUUCAUAAAAUUUAACACCUCAGAAUUACAGCAGGCACAGUUUAAAAGUUGCAGUAUCACACACUGCAUUGCUUUCUUCUUGUCCUC